GUACUUUGUGCAUCACAAGGCUGGCAAGAAAUGUCUUUAGCUUCAAUGUUGCAAUUCAAACGAUCCAAGGCAGUUUUUAAAAAAAUAAUUACUGGAGAUUGGGACAUUAAAGCGCGCUUUACGCGCUCACAAUUUUUCCUCUCUUUCGACCAACUUUGUGGAUCUUCGCUCAUAUCUAAAUGCACGUUUCCUUAAUUCUUAUAAAAAGGCCUUCAAAGGAGUUUAUGGAGACAACAAACGAUAUCUCUAAUAAAUGUCAAUUAAUAAAUUUUACCUGUACAACAUUAGGUGGUUGAGUAGCAAUUCGCAUGAACAGGCGAAACCCCGAAAAUAGUGAUCGACAGAGGGAAAACACUAGUGAAGUUCUUCGUAAAUAUAUAAGAAAGAUUACACCCUUUCCGAGCCCAUGGACUGCAAAGUGAGGGAGUAUCGACUUUUUUUCCUAUUCACAGUCUGCUGAACCCUGCUAUGUGUAUCAGAUUGCAAGCUC